UCACAGUAUAAGCAUUGACUAGUCCUAUCCUGAAGUAUUAUGUGAUUUGCUUUGAAAUAUAUACUGCAAAUCAGAUGUAAUAGUGAAUCGAAAUAAAAACGAUAUAUUUUAGUUAUCCAGUAAUUCUUAACAUUUUCUGUAUCUAGUAUAAUUUCCAUCAACUCCAGAAGAGUUGCCAGGUAAUAAAUGCGGAAACGUAAAAUACUCGUUGCCACUGUGAACAAACAAGUUGUAGAUGACACAGAUAGCCAUUGUGGAUGUCUUUAAAAAAUUGCUGGCCUUUCAGUUCAACACAGAGACCCAUUGCUAGUCGAUGAUGGUACCAGAUCAGUACAAAAGACUGUUUGGACAUCUGAUGCUACCAGUUCCAAGUCCAAGAGAAGUAAAACUAGAAUUUCUAAGGAAUUUGAGAGAGACCACAUGAUAGCUGAACAUGAAGAUGAACAACAAACCAUAAAGCUAAAAGGAGAUGAAGUUCAGGGUAGUAGUCCAUCAAGUAGUACCUGUCAGUGUGGAUCAAAGUAGAACCUUCUCAUGUCUCAUGCUCUGGAGGAGUCUAAUGAUAAAAUUUUUACUAAGCAAGAAUUUGUUUAUAAAGAAGAGGUGUUUGGAUCUGAUGAUGAUAAUGAAAGUCAGACCAUUUAUCCUCUUCCUGAUGUCACUAAUGAAUCAUCAGUGUCUGACUGUUCACCACUCAAUAAAUCUCCUGUGGAAACAAAACUGAACAGCAUAAACCAAAUUGGCCCUUUUGACACUAAACCAAAUACCACAAUGAAUACAGGCAGUCUUGAAGGAAAAGAAGAAACAUUGUGAGUAUAAACAAAGUGUCUGUAUAAGGAAGUUCAGCUUCAUUGUUUAUGUGAAUAUAAGAUUAUGUGUUGUUCCCUAAAUUGCCCCAUAUAAGUACAGCUUAAUUUCAUGCUCGUGCACUAACUCAUCUCUCACUCACUUUAUGAUUUUCCCAUCAAAAUUCUUUAUAAAGAAUAGCAUUUCCUAAUGUAGAUUUAUCAACACAGCACUAUAGAUAUUGAGAAUGUUUAUCACUCAUAAUUACUUCCACUGAUAUAAGAUGCCUAAAAAAAAAUUGUCCUACUACCAUACAUCCCAAUACCCACUGUCCUUGAUGAGUUAAGAAUUUAAGGGCUGCGACUGUAGGAACAGGAUUUAGAGUAAGUUUUAGGAGCAAAGAUAAAUCAGGACAGGUGAAACAAAAUGUGUAACCCCAAUUCCCAUCUUAAAAAUGUGACCAUAUUUUAGUUGAUUUUGAAUGACAUUCUGCAUCCUCAAUACCUACCAAGAAGCCUCCUUAUUUGCAAAAAAUAGAUACUCAUGGAUUCAGUAUUAUGGAGGAAGUAAGAUAUGGAUUGGUAGUUGAAAAUAUUAAUCUCUUGCGGAUGGGGGAUAGAUUUACUUGCCCAGUCUUCUGGAUGGGUUUUCUUUCAGAGUGAGGCAACGUCAAGCAACACACUUUCAGUUUUCCCACUUUCUUUCAGUCCUUCAUUGUAAUACUAGGGCCAUUUUUGUGAUUGAAUUUUUGUUUUUUAAUUGUAUUGAAAGACUUAAGGUGUCAUAUGACAGGCUCUGUUAGUGCUGCAGUUGCCAAAAAAGGGAGUAUAGGGUCCAUAUCAGCUCAAUAUUGACUUUAUACUCAGUGUGAUAGAAGUAUUGCUGUUUAAUGGGAGGACAAAAAGCAACUUUAUUUUUUUGUAUUCGUGUACUGUUAUGAAUGAAUAUAAAACAUAUAACUAUUUACAAUGAAGACAACAUGAAGAGGUAGGGAAGACAAAGGAAACAUGUGCUUAUGACUGUGAAUGCCACUGUGAAAGGCAUUCCUAUGGGCACAGGGGCACAUUGUAGACACUGGGCAUGGUUUGAGUUACCUUCCUCUUCUCAUACUGCCUGUACAUCCUUCAUCAGCGGUACUUUAGAGCAAGAGGUCAGUAACUUGUGUACCAUUGUUCUGUAAAGAUAGUGCUUGCUAGAGACCAUUGAUGGGUGCUAUCCAAGGCUCUCUCACUUGGUGGUGCUAGAAGAAAGUGGUGCCAUCUAACUUUUGGAUGUUAGGUUUGUUAAAUAUUACAGUAAUUAUAGUAAUUAUGGCUGCAAUUGUCAUCAACACUCACUCCUUAUUCAUAGCUCAAUAAAAUAGUACAGUGAUCUAAAAUGCCUGAAUGUCAUGUACGUCAUAACACCUGUCUUAAGUCCAAUGUUCCUGCAUCCUGUAUGUCAUGACAACUGUCCACAAUGAUAAAUAAUGAUAAAAAUAUCCUAUUCACUGUUGCCAUGUUACUGGAACAUCAUCAUUGUUUUUAUAGUAGAUCACGCAAGAUAUAUUAUUCUGCCAGCUUUACGGAACAUUGGUUCUUAUAAAUGUAGGCAUAAAUCUAAGAAGACAACACUUUAAUAAAUCAUUUGUUUAUUGAGUGAUGUAGAGAACAAAGCCAUGGAAGUAACUGUGGUUAUAUGUGUCACACCAAAACAUUAAUUUAAAAUUAAUUGUAAUUGCAGAGUACAGACUGCAUCCAAGCAAAGAGGAGAAUGUCAAAGGACCUGAUAGAAGAUAUGCUACCUUCUAUCUUUAACCACAAAGGGAUAACAUGCAAUUUUAAGUCAGAUAAUAACAUUCCUGGUUUCAACUUAAUAAUUGAUACUACAAUAACAGCAAUGGAAGACAUGAGAUGCUGGCUGAAAGAAUUUAGCAAGUGAACAUGCACAAACUGGAAAUACAGAUAUGGGGUGGGCUCACCCAACAGUUCAUGUAAAGUUAUGUUUGCCUGUAAUGGCUUAUUGGAAGCUAAAAGAGAAAAAACAAAGGAAAGUAUAAUUGCAAAGUUCACAUUUACAUCAAACUGUAUGAGGAGAAUAUUAAGAAGAUAGGUACCAUACCAGGUUUCUCUUAAAAAAAUACCCCUGUCAGCUAGAAGUGAUUAUAACUUUUAUUCAUUAUUUCUGUGAGGGACACCUCCAGAAAGUGCCUUUAAUUAUCAUUAAACUAGGCUUUGACUAAUAGACUUGGCUACUGAGUCAUUGGUGAUUCACAAAAUCUGAAGUUAAGAACAGUUAGAUUCAUGUAGGAGUCAUGGAGAAAAGAAAAAAGACAAAAAUCACUAAGAACUAAACCAAAAUGUAGUGACAAAGCAUCUCUGUAUGAUGCUAUUACUGAAAGAAUGCAAAAAAAUAAAGCUUGAUAGGAAAGAAUAUCUUAUAGUGAAAAAUGUGGACAUAAUUCAUAUGAAGCGAGGCUUACAACUUGAUCCUGCCAUCACUUGUGGAGAUGACAAUGGGAAUAAAACAUGUGACUUGUGCCACAGCUUUUAGAGUGUUACCUUCAAGUAUGAUUAUCAUGGACAAUGUAACAUGUGAUUAUACAGUUGUUUUAAAAAAAAAAAAAAGCUGGUCAGGGCAAAAGCAUUUUAAAGUAUAUUUAUUAUUGUUGGUGCUUUUGUAUCUUGCAAACAGGCUUUGAAGGUCUGUUAUCCUGGGAGUCAGAUAUGGGGAUGGCUUAGUAAAAUAUCAGACGGUAUUAAAGAACAGGAUAGAACUACUCUUAUAGGCCUUGUAGAAAAUGUUCUUAAUGAUCCAACACAAAAUGAGUAAACUGACAUACAAAAUGAUGUUAGCACACAACAUAUUCAAACAGUAUAGUGUUUUCAAGACAGGAGAGGAGAUGUUAGAUUAUUGUAUAAGUUGCCUAUACUCAGUAAGGAAUGUAAUGACUUUUCCAAAAGAAUAUUUAUUAAUGCCAUCCUGAACAGAUGUAUUGCAGUAGAGUAGUGUUUCCAGCAGAGAAUAAAAGCAUUCAUAGUGAA
rnacentral:misc_RNA from 1 species